rnacentral:rRNA from 1 species
GACGAACGCUGGCGGCGUGCCUAAUACAUGCAAGUUGAGCGCAGAAGGCUGGUCCUUGUACCAACUGGAUGAGCCGCAAACGGGUGAGUCACGCGUGGGGCCUCCGCCUUUGAGCGGGGGACAAUAAGUGGAAACGAGUUCUUACAUCGCAUAAGCUCUUUAAACAUAGGUUUUAAGUUUGAAAUAUGCCAUUGCAUCAUUCACAGAUGAUUUAUCGUUGUCUUAGCUAGUUGGUGGGUUAAAAGCUCACUAAGGCGUAGAUACAUUGCCGACCUGAGAGGGUGAUCGACCACAUUGGGACUGGGACACGGACCUUACUCCUACGAGAGGCAGCAGUAGCGAAUCUACGGCAAUGGUCGAAAGUCUGACCGAGCAACGCCGCGUGAGGGAAAGAGGCGUUCGGAUCGUAAAACUCGGUUGGUAGUGAAGAACGUCGGUGAGAGUGGAAAGCUCGUCAAGGAACGGUAACGAUCCAGAAAGGAACGGCAAACUACGG